rnacentral:pre_miRNA from 1 species
CAAAUACUCCCUCCGUCCGGAAAUACUUGUCAUCAAAAUGGAUAAAAAGAAAUGUAUCUAGACGUAUUUUAGUUUUAGAUACAUCUAUUUUUAUCCAUUUUGAUGACAAGUAUUUUCGGACGGAGGGAGUAGAAA